rnacentral:rRNA from 2 species
CAUGCAAGUCGUGCGAGACGAUGAACGCGCGAGCUUGCUCCACGGAUGUUAGCGGCGGACGGGUGAGUAACACGUGGGUAACCUGCCUGUAAGACUGGGAUAACUCCGGGAAACCGGAGCUAAUACCGGAUAGUUCCUUGAACCGCAUGGUUCAAGGAUGAAAGACGGUUUCGGCUGUCACUUACAGAUGGACCCGCGGCGCAUUAGCUAGUUGGUGGGGUUAAUGGCUCACCAAGGCACGAUGCGUAGCCGACCUGAGAGGGUGAUCGGCCACACUGGGACUGAGACACGGCCCAGACUCCUACGGGAGGCAGCAGUAGGGAAUCUUCCGCAAUGGACGAAAGUCUGACGGAGCAACGCCGCGUGAGUGAUGAAGGUUUUCGGAUCGUAAAGCUCUGUUGUUAGGGAAGAACAAGUGCGAGAGUAACUGGUCGCACCUUGACGGUACCUAACCAGAAAGCCACGGCUAACUACGUGCCAGCAGCCGCGGUAAUACGUAGGUGGCAAGCGUUGUCCGGAAUUAUUGGGCGUAAAGGGCUCGCAGGCGGUUUCUUAAGUCUGAUGUGAAAAGCCCCCGGCUCAACCGGGGAGGGUCAUUGGAAACUGGGAAACUUGAGUGCAGAAGAGGAGAGUGGAAAUUCCACAUGUAGCGUGAAAUGCGUAGAGAUGUGCGACGACCACCACUGGGACAAGGCGACUCUCUGGUCUGUAACUGAACCUGAACAGCGAAAUCGUCGGGACGCACCACGAUAAGUAUGCCUGGUAGUCCA